rnacentral:tRNA from 1 species
GCCUGGCUGGCUCAGUUAGUAGAGCGUGUGACUCUUGAUCUUGGGGUUGUGAGUUCGAACCCCACAUUGGGUG